rnacentral:rRNA from 1 species
AUGGAGGUAGUGAGUGCUUCACACGGCGUGUUGGGUCCCCUGCUGGGGAAGCUCACUGGUUUGCUCGCGGGUGAGUGUGCCCGCCUGAAAGGCGUCCGGCGUGAGUUCCGCUCGCUCAGAUCCGAGCUGACCUGCAUGCAUGGCGCGGUCGAGAAGUACACGAUGAUGCAAGAUCCCGAUGUUCAGGUUAAGAAGUGGAUGUCGCUGGUGAGGGAGCUGACCUAUGACAUUGAGGAUGUCAUCGACAAGUUCAUCCACCAGCGCGGCACUGACGGCCACCAGCACCAGGGAGGCUUCAAGGAGUUCUUCCGGAAGACUGCUCGCAGACUCAAGACCCUGGGCUCCCGCCGUGGAAUCGCUAGCCAAACCAACGAUCUGAAGAUUUGUCUCAAGGAGGUAAAAGAGUUGAAAAGUAGUUACAAGCUGGAUGAUAUUCCCUAUCAGCAUUCAUCUGUGGAUCCCCGCUUGUCUGCUUUGUUUGUUGAGGAAGCACAUCUCGUGGGCAUUGAUGGCCCAAGAGAUGAUCUUGCCAGUUGGAUGUUGAAAGAUGAAAAUAGCUUGACAAAGCAUCGCAAGGUGCUGUCCAUUGUUGGCUUUGGUGGUUUGGGGAAAACGACACUGGCGAGGGAGGUCUACCGCAAGAUCCAAGGGCAUUUCCAUUGUGUGGCUUUUGUCUCUGUCUCACAAAAGCCUAAUGUAAAGAAAAUUAUGAAGGAUUUGAUCUCCCAGAUGCCUUGCAAGAAAGAUUUUACAGAAGGUAUCGACAGCUGGGAUGAUAUGAAAUGUAUUGCGAAGCUAAAAGAGCUCUUACAAGAUAAGAGGCCACGACCAAACUGA